rnacentral:rRNA from 1 species
CACGCUGUAAACGAUGAAUGCUAGGUGUAGCGGGUAUCGACCCCUGCUGUGCCGCAGUAAACACAAUAAGCAUUCCGCCUGGGGAGUACGGCCGCAAGGUUGAAACUCAAAGGAAUUGACGGGGGCCCGCACAAGCAGCGGAGCAUGUCGUUUAAUUCGAUGCAACGCGAAGAACCUUACCAGGUCUUGACAUCCAACUAAACUUGUGGAGACACAAGGUCCCUUCGGGGGAGUUGAGACAGGUGG